ACGUAGGUGGCAAGCGUUGUUCGGAAUUAUUGGGCGUAAAGGGCGCGUAGGCGGCCUCUGCAAGUCGACUGUGAAAUCUCCGGGCUUAACCCGGAAAGGUCAGCCGAUACUGCAGGGCUAGAGUGCAGAAGGGGCAACUGGAAUUCUCGGUGUAGCGGUGAAAUGCGUAGAUAUCGAGAGGAACACCUGCGGCGAAGGCGGGUUGCUGGGCUGACACUGACGCUGAAGUGCGAAAGCUAGGGGAGCGAACGGGA
rnacentral:rRNA from 1 species